UCAAGGAAAAUGAAUGGAAGUCAAUGGAAGUAACUGAAAAGUCCUCAUAAAGAUAGUAAAACACGGAUGUGUGUGUGUGUGUCUUCCUGUCUUUCCGGAGAGGCUUUGCUGGUAGGCGUUGUAUCCAAUUUUGGCUGGAGCGUUUUUAAGGAGCUGCAGGACAAGCACUCUUCGCCUGAUGCUCCGCGUUGAGUGGUCGUGUGGAUCACAACUCCGGAUUCACUUCCUUCACCUUCGGACAAAAAAACCCUGGAACCCAGCUACCAGCUGCUUCUGCAAGCUCCAACUAUCCUCCAGCCUGCCAGCUCUCCAACUUUACUGGAAGCGCACCUUCUGACCCUCCAGAUCGCUGCCUACGGAUAGUGCCCCAAGAACCCCCCCUUUAGAUCAUCUACCUGGAGAUCACAAGCCUGUGAGUCUGGACUAGACGACCAGAGAACGCAUCCUUUGGGAGAAUUAAAAGGACAGUUUUGCCUCUUGAGAUAAUUAAACUUUUGAAACUUA